CAAUGCCGCGCUGUGCAGUUGCCCCGUGAGAAGGCCUUCGGUUGUAAAGCACUUUCAGUCUGAGGAAGGUAGUGUAGUUAAUAGCUGCAUUAUUUGACGUUAGCGACAGAAGAAGCACCGGCUAACUCCGUGCCAGCAGCCGCGGUAAUACGGAGGGUGCGAGCGUUAAUCGGAAUUACUGGGCGUAAAGCGCAUGCAGGUGGUUUGUUAAGUCAGAUGUGAAAGCCCGGGGCUCAACCUCGGAAUUGCAUUUGAAACUGGCAGACUAGAGUACUGUAGAGGGGGGUAGAAUUUCAGGUGUAGCGGUGAAAUGCGUAGAGAUCUGAAGGAAUACCGGUGGCGAAGGCGGCCCCCUGGACAGAUCUGACACUCAGAUGCGAAAGCGUGGGGAGCAAACAGGAUUAGAUACCCUGGUAGUCCACGCCGUAAACGAUGUCUACUUGGAGGUUGUGGCCUUGAGCCGUGGCUUUCGGAGCUAACGCGUUAAGUAGACCGCCUGGGGAGUACGGUCGCAAGAUUAAAACUCAAAUGAAUUGACGGGGGCCCGCACAAGCGGUGGAGCAUGUGGUUUAAUUCGAUGCAACGCGAAGAACCUUACCUACUGCUUGACAUCGAGAGAACUUUCCAGAAUGGAUUGGUGCC
rnacentral:rRNA from 1 species